rnacentral:lncRNA from 1 species
AGGAGGCGGAGGUGGUAGUGAACCGAGAUCGUGCCACUGCGCUCCAGCCUCGGCGACAGAGCGAGACUUUGUCUCGAAACAAACAAACAAAGAAAAAAUUCUUUAGUAUAGAUGAGAAGACAGUUAAACAGGUACUCUCAUAUACAGGUGUGUGAAAUAUUCUACAUUUCUGGAGAGCAAGUUAGUACGUUUAUCGAAAGCUCCAAAAUGUGACUACCUUUAACUAAGCAAUUUCACACUAAGGAAUUAGCCCAAGGGAAAUAAUCAGAGCCAUAUUCAAAGAUUUGUCUAACAGUAAGUCUUCUCACAAUAUUAUUUUUAAUGGUGCAAUAACAUAAACAACUUACAGGUACACUCAGAUGGUCAUGAUUAAAUAAUUAAUGCUACCUCCAUAGGUUAGUAUACUAUGCAGCUGUAAAAAUCAUAGUGUAGGCCGGGCGUGGUGGCUCAUGCCUGUAAUCCCAGCUACUUAGGAGGCUGAGGCAGAAGAAUCACUUAAACCUGGCAGGUGGAGGUUGCAGUGAGUCGAGAUUGCACCACUGCACUCCAGCCUGGGUGACAGAGAGAGACUCCGUCUCAAAAAACAAAACAAAACAAAAAAAACCACAUAUUGUAAAAAUGGUUAAUGAUGUGGGAAAAUGUUCACAUUUUGUUAAAUGAAAAGAGGAGAUUACAAAAUAGUACUACUGUAUGAUCUCAGAAUUACAAAAGAGAUGACCAUGUGUCUAUAGAUCUAUGGAUAAAUGAAUAAAAACAUUUACUAAAAUGUUAAUGGUGGUUAUCUCUGGGUUCUGGGAUUGUGGAUGACUUUUAUUCCUUUUUCUAUUUCUACACUGUACUGCAUUACUUUGGUAGUCAGCAACAGUGUUGUUUAUAACAAGUAAAAGAGCUCUAAUGUACUUCUAGAGAAUUACUUCCCAUGAGUUAAUGAAGUCAGAGAAAAACUGCUACGCCUAAAACAUGCUCAUUGAACAGCUUGCAUAGAUGCUUUCCCUGACCCAUACUUUCCCCAUGUGGGAAUAGGGUCAGGAACAGGGUAGAGGUUUCAAAGUGGCCCGUGCUCUACGCAUUCCUGCCCACCUGGGGUGCUGAGGGCUCUGAGCUGCUCAUGGUUAUCCCUGAACUGAGAUAUGCACUUAAGGGAGAGCCAGGACAGCUGGUGUGAGUAUGAACAUAUCACUUGCAACAUUCAUCUCAUGGCUGUGACAUCCACUCGGCCUUGAAACCCUUCAUGUUCUAGUGGACAUCAUUCCAUGUCAGCCCAGUCCUAUAAAUGGUCUCCCUGCCCCCAUCACAUUUCCCCUUUGAUAUUUCCAUGAUGACAUUUACUCUAUAUAAGGUAGAAACUAUUAGUGAGAACACUAGUUCUGGGUUUCAAUUCCAUUGCAUUUAACAUAAGGUCAUGGUCACUAUAAUAUGUUAUGUAAGCCUAGUAGGCAUUUAGCUUGAGCCAGGAUACCUACUUGUAGGGGUAAAUUUGAGAGUUGGAGAGAAGGUUUUCCCUCGAUCAUGACACCAAAGAAUGGAUUAUUUCACCUCGCCUCCAAAGUAGAAAAGGUAGAAUUAAGAAUUAGCUCAUUGUGAGGAAAGCUAGAGAGCUCUCUUUAUAAGAAAUACUGAUGGCCUGGCGUGGUGGUUCAAGCCUGUAAUCCCAGCACUUUGGGAGGCCGAGGCGGGUGGAUCACGAGGUCAGGAGAUCGAGACCAUCCUGGCUAACAUGGUGAAACCCCGUCUCUACUAAAAGUACAAAAAAAUUAGCCGGGCGUGGUGGCAGGCGCCUGUAGUCCUAGCUACUUGGGAGGCUGAGGCAGGAGAAUGGCGUGAACCCGGGAAGCGGAGCUGGCAGUGAGCCGAGAUCGCGCCACUGAACUCCAGCCUGGGUGACAGAGCGAGACUCCGUUUCAAAAAAAAAAAAAAAAAAAAAAAAAAGAGAUACUGAUGUUUCUCUGCUGCCAAAACUGCUAAAGAGAGACUAUCGUGCAAGUAAAUAAAAGCAGUUCUUCUGACAUGAAAACUGAGGUAUAUUUUGUUAGUGGAACCUCUUGGUAACUAAGCAAAUGCCUUCCUGUGUCCAUCAUAUUCAGCCUUUCUCUCUCUCUCCCUCUCUCUUUGGAUACAAGGUCUCUCCCGUGUCACCGAGGCUCAAGUGCAGUGGUGUGAUCAUGGCUCACUGCAGCCUCGAAUUCCUGGGCUCAAGCGAUCCUCCCACCUCAGCCUCUUGAGUAGCUGGAACUGCAGACAGGCACCAGCAUGCCAGACUAUGUUCAUUUUCUUUAAAUGAGCACACCUCAUCCCCCAAAAUCUGCAAGUAACCCCAUGAUAUGAUGAAAUGUAUGCCUAUAUAAUUUCAGGGUGGGAGGCUGGGGGUGCUUAUGGAGUCCUUCAAGGGUAUGAUCUUUCUUUCUUUUUUUUUUUUUAUACGGGGUCUCACUCUGUCAUCCAGGUUGGAGUGCAGUGGCACAAUCUCGGCUUACUGCAACCUCUGCCUCCCAGGCUCAAGCGAUCCUCCCACCUCAACCUCCAGAGCAGCAAGGACCACAGGUGCACACCACCACUCCUGGCUAUUUUUUUUUUUUUUUUUGGUAGAGACGGGGUUUCACCAUGUUGUUGCCCAGGCUGCUCUUGAACUCCUGAGCUUAGGUGAUCCACUGGCCUCAGCCUCCCAAAGUGCUGGAAUUACAGGCGUGCGCCUGGCCCUAGGUAUGAUCUUUCUAGCCAGCAAUUUGUUAAUCUACCAAAAGCCUUAAAAUUGUUCAUACCAUUUGCCAUAGAAUAUACACUUCUGAGAACUCAAAAAAUGAGUUAUUUAAUAUGCAAAGAAUAGGUAAGAAUAUUCUCUGCAAGUAUUAUUUAUAAAAGUGAAAAACUGCAAAAAAUCUAAAUGUCCCAUAAUUGACCUCAGCUAAAUAAAUUAUAGCAUAAUCAUACAAUAGGUUAUUGAGGCCAUUAUUCAUUAUAUACUUGAACAAUAUUAAAGAAUAUUAAGAGCCGGGCGUGGUGGCUCAUGCCUGUAAUCCCAGCACUUUGGGAAGCCGAGGUAGGCGGAUCACAAGGUCAAGAGAUCGAGACCAUCCUGGCCAACAUGGUGAAACCCCGUCUCUACUAAAAAUACAAAAAUUAGCUGGGCAUGGUGGUGCGUGCCUAUAGUCCCAGCUACUCAGGAGGCUGAGGCAGGAGAAUGGCGUGAACCCGGGAGGCGGAGGUUGCAGUGAGCUGAGAUCGCGCCACUGCCCUCCAGCCUGGGCGACAGAGCCAGGCUCCGUCUCAAAAAAAAAAAAAAAAUUAAGAAAGGCUCAUGAUAUAAAGUUAAGUGAAAAACAAGGUGAAAAACUAUCUACAUAUCCUAUAAACCCAAUGUCGAUAUAUAUUCUACACAUAUACACAAACACAAGAUUCAUGUAUGGAGAGAGAGAGAGAGAGAGAGAGAGAGAGAGAGAGAGAGAGAUCCUCCAGCUUUCCCAGCCUCACUGGAUUUAUGUACUUUCAUAUGCCGUAACUCUUCUCUUCAUUCUCUACGGUCACAGCAGUCCAGUCCCCUCUCUGGGUAUUUCUGAGACCCUCCAACACAUGUCUGCAUAUUCCCCAACUCAUCCUGUUACCUGAUCCCUAUGCACUCCACAGCAUUGCCCCAGCCUCCUUCCCCAAUCACUUCUCACAUGUCUCAAAAUGGCUUUUCCAGCUGACUGUCAUUCUCUAUCAUCUGGCUACAAUUUUAACAAACCUUACAAAGUCUCAAGGAUUACAUAGAGAAUUACAGUGCAGGAAAAAACUUUAACACUGAACAUUAGAUAUCAUUUGCUCCUAAAGUUCCCUGUAAGCCUCUUUCCAGGGACUCUCCACCACAGGCCCACUCCUUUGUUUUCAGCCUGCCACAGUUGUGCAAAGGUUUGCCUCACCCUCCCAGAGGGCAUCUCCUCCUAUUGACUCAAUAGGAGUUCUUGUUUCUGACCAUCAGCAGAGGAAACUCGAUAGUCUGGACAGCUAUACCUGCUCCCAAUAAAAAUGGCUUUUUGCAUUGUUAAACGGAAACCUCAGUGUCUUCAUCUAAAACAUUUGCAUUUGGAUUACUCCACUGGUUCAGGGACUUCCAAGCACAGUUGUUUGUUAUUUCCUUUGGGUCCUCAAGAAUUUAAAAAGAGUUGCCCCUGGCCUGGAGCAGUGGCUUAUGGCUGUAAUCCCGGCACUUUGGGAGGCCGAGGAUGGUGGAUCAUUUGAGGACAAGAGUUCAAGACCAACUUGGCCAACAUGGUGAAACCCUGUCUCUACUAAAAAUAUAAAAAUUAGCCGGGCAUGGUGACACAUGCCUAUAUUCUCAGCUACUAGGAAGGCUGAGACAGGAGAAUUACUUAAGCCCAGGAGGCGGAGGUUGCAGUGAGCCAAGAUUGUACCACUGCACUCCAGCCUGGGUGACAGAGUGAGACUCUGUCUCAAAAAUAAAUAAAUAAUAGAAUAGAAUAGAAUAGACCGGGCACGGUGGCUCACACCUGUAAUCCCAGCACUUUGGGAGGCUGAGGUGGGCAGAUCAUGAGGUCAGGAGUUCGAGACCAUCCUGACCAGCAUGGUGAAACCCUGUCUCUACCAAAAAUACAAAAAUUAGCUGGGUGUGGUGGCACCCGCCUGUAAUCCCAGCUACUCAGGAGGCUGAGGCAGGAGAAUAGCUUGAACCUGGGAGGCAGAGGUUGCAGUGAGCCGAGAUGGCACUACUGCACUCCAGCCUGGGCGAAAGAGCGAGACACUGUCAAAAAAAAAAAAUAAAUUAAUAAAAUAAAAAGAGUUUCCCCUAAAGACAAAGUAAUCUUCCAUCCUUAGAAUAUUCAAGAAAGGAUGCAGAAACACUGGAAUGCAGUUUCAGAUACAUAAUAACAGCUAACAGUAAGUACUUACUAUGAACCAGGCACUAUACUAAGCACUGGACACGUAUUAACUCACUUAAUCUUCAUGAGAACCCUCUGGUAAGUGCUAUCAUUAACCAUAUGGAUGAAAAAAUUAAGACAGACAGCAAUUCAGUACUUUUCCCCAAAGCCACAGAUCCAGAAAAAUGGUAAAGGUAGGCUAUAUCCAGGUAAUGUGGUUUGGCAGUGUCCGCACCCAAAUCUCUUCUUGAAAUGUAAUUCCCAUAAUCCACAUGUGUCAAGGGAGGGGCCCACUGGAAGGUGAUUGGAUCAUGAGGGCAGUUUCCCCAUGCUGUUCUCACAAUAGUGAGUGAGUUCUCAUGAGAUCUGAUGGUUUUAUAAGGGGUUCUUCCCCCUUCACUCCUCACACUUCUCUCUCCUGCCUCCAAGUGAAGAAGGUCCUUGCUUCCCCUUCUCCUUUCACCAUGAUUGUAAGUUUUCUGAGGCCUCCCCAGCCAUGUGGAACUAUAUGUUAAUGAAACCUCUUUCCUUUAUAAUUUACCCAGUCUUGGGUAUUUAUUUAUAGCAGUGUGGAAACAAACAUACACCAGGUCAUGUCAUUCUAGGGAUUUAGCCUCUCUUAUCUACUACACUUUAUUGCCUCGAAAGACGGGAGGAAGCAAAAAAAUGGGAAUUAAGGAGGAAAGGAAGUGCUAACAAAUGGUGACAAUUUUUUUUGUAUUUUUCAAAUUGCCUACAAGGAACUUUAGAAUUAGGAACUAGAGCAUGUGUGUGUGUGUGUGUGUGUGUGUGUGUGUGUGUGUGUGCGCGCGCGCGCGCGCACUAGGCAUUGUACCUUCAUCUCUCUAAUUCAUAAUGACCCCUAAUAUUUAACCACUAUAGUAGACAUCUUUCCUCUAAGAAAUGCUGUUGACUUACAUGGAUAGGCCCCUAGGAGACUGUAUCUAUGCCCUGUAACCUCAUUCCUUGAUGUCAGUUGACUGAACUAGGAAACCAUCUGACACCGUUUGAGAUAAUAUGAUUUUCUCACUUGAGGAUUUCAAAUUAGAAUUGAGAUUAACCCAGUCAAUCUGAGUUAGUCUCCUAUACAGAGGAUACAUAUGUAUUGGUCAGAGAAGGUUAACUGCUAUAACAAACGAUCUCCAAAUCUCAACGGCUUCAGUUUAUUUCUCAACCAUAUCAUGCUUUAAUGUAGGCCAAUGGAGGAUGGAGAUGAGGGAAAUGCUAUGCUCCAUAAAUUUUACUAAGUGCCCAGGUUCCUUCCAUCUAGUGGCUUCACUAUUUUCUAAGACCUUAGUCAAGGGAAGAGGGAGAGGCUGAAGAGGUGCACAGGAGAUUUUUUAAAUGGGUUAGACCUGAAAUAGUAUGCACCAUGCCCCCAUUCUACUGGCCACAGUUCAUCACAUGGCCCUACCUGACAGGAAGGGAUGCUGGGAAACACAGUCCAGUUGUAUGCCCAGAAAGAAGAGAAAAUGGGUAGGUGACCAUCUAGUCAGUCUCUAUCACAACAUGUAAAUUUUGAAUGGUGGGGUAGCCAUCAUCUGUCUACCAUGUGCAUGUAAAAGCUAAGAUUUGUAGAGUGACAAGAAUGAAACAGGUGUCCACAGGGACACAGAGAGGAGAGAGAGUGUGAGAAAGUCUUGUGUGGUUUCUUUCUGGCUUUCCACUUUGUGACAUUCGUUUUUUGUUUGUUUUGUUAUAUAUGUAUAUAUAAUUAUAAAAAUUAUAUAUAUAAAAAUUUUUAUAAUAACAGCUUUAUUGAAAUAUAAUUCACAUGACAUAAAAUUCAACUUUUCAAAGUGUACAGUUCCGUGGGUUUUAGUAUAGAGUUAUGCAUCACCACGAUCUAAUUCUAGAACAUUUUCAUCCCUCCACAAGAAACUCUGAGCUCACUAGCAGUCACUGCCCACCAUUCCCCAUUCUACCCAGCCCCUGGCAAUCAUUAAUCUACUUUCUGUCUAUAUGGAUUUGUUUAUUCUGGACAUUUCAUAUAAAUGGAAUCAGUCAUACAAUAUGUGGCCCUCUGUGUCUGGGUUCUUUCACUUAGCAGUAAGUUUUUCAAGGUUAACCCAUUUUGUAGUAUGUAUCAGAACUUCAUUUCUUUUUAUAACCGAAUAAUAUUCCAUCAUAUGGACACACCACAGUUUGUUUAUCUGGUUAUCACUUUGUGGGAAUUUGAGUUGUUUCUACCUUUUGCCUAUCAUGAGUAAUGCUGCCAAGAACAUUGGUGUACAUUUUGUGUGCACAUAUGCUUUCAUAGGAGUGGAAUUGCUGGGUCAUAUGGUAAUAACUUUAUGAUUAACAGUUUGAGGAACUGUCUGGAACUAAUGUUUAAGAGUCCUGGCUGUCCUUGAGCUACUUCAGUAUCCUCCACAUGAAUAUAUGAAUUCCUUUUUUUCCUUCUUCUUUCAUCGACUUGAAUUGAUUUUAGUAACAUUAUUUGCAACCUCAUGAGCCUUAACAAAGUCACCCACUUGUAUUACUUCUGGUUUAGACUUUCCCGAUUCCUCAGUCUCCUUUAUUUUGGCUCCAUUUUUGCUUGCCUAUUUGAUAAUGCUUUAGUUUGGCUUUAUUUUGGCUGCAAGUAUCAGAUACUCAUUCCAGUUAGCUCAAGUAUAAGAACAUUCAGAAAAAUACAUGAUAAGAUAAUGGAAGCUUUUGGAAACCCAAGAACAAAAACCAUAAAGGGCUAGCUUCAGAGAAACUAGUGCUAAAAGCUAGUUCUCAAUUUGAGGUGGCUGUACACUUUACCAAUUACAAAUUUGUAAGUCUUCACUGUAUUUCAUCAGUAUAGCUAUAGUUCAGCCAUACUCAUUUCUGUCCUGCUAUGAACUGGUAAUUUCUCUACUUUCAUGCCAUUCUUCUGAGAGAGAAGCUCUGAUGGGUCCAAUGUAUCUUUUCAUAUCUGAUUACAGGUCAUGGGAAUCUAGCCAAUCUAUGGUUUGGUUGCUCUUAAAUCAGGUGCCCACCCUGAUCCAAUCAUUCAUGAGUCCAGAGAGCUAGAUCUCAUGGUACAAAACAUGGCUACUGAGUCUACUUCUUUAACAGGGGCCAGGAGGGCAUGGUGAUUGAUUUUUUUUGUGUGUGAUUGAUUGAUAUUUUGUUUUGUUUUGUAUUUUUGAGAGACGGAAUUUCGCUCUGUCGCCCAGGCUAGAGUAGAGUGGAGUGAUCUCGGCUUACUGCAACCUCUGCCUCCCGGGUUCAAGCGAUUCUCCUGCCUCAGUGUCCCAAAUAGCUGGGACUACAGGCUGUCUGCUGCCCUGCAUUGUGAGUUUGCUCAGUGGGCCAGCGUGGCACAGAAGCACAGUUGAGAGACCAGACCCGGGGCCUCUGGAGGAACGUGCUGGUAUCAUCGCUGAAGAGCUUUCUCAAUGCUGGCUGGCUGUUGUCAGGAGCAGUCCUUAGACAGGCUCGCUUCUGGUAGUUCAAAGAAUCAGUGCCCUCUCUAGCCUUGGGAGUCCUAAUGAGCUAUAAUCACAGAGACGCCAGACUAGUCAAAAUUGGAAGAAAGAGCUAUAAUCACAGGAAAAGAACUCUCUCCACAAUUUGAAGUAUCCCAGAAAAAGCAGCAGCAAUGAGGACAGACUUCAAGACAAGCAGAGAGGAGCAGCCAUGGCGGGGCCUGCAGUGGCUACAGGGGGCCUCUAUAGCGUGAAAUGACAUCAGAAAAGGACCUGAGUGGCCCAAGAAAGGGAGGACGGAAAGUCAAGGAGGAAAGUAAGCAGGAGUUGAAUUUAGGAGUAAAUGCUACGGUGAUUAUGACUCACAGCCUCAUGGUCCUCAAGGCUGGAGUGGCGUUGGAGAAACCAGGUCAUAGUUGUAUAACCAAGGUACUCUGCAGGAUGGACUAUGGAGCUGCCUCCUGCAGCCACAGGUGAUCAAAAUGAGGUCUGUGUGACGGAGCCUGCAGCGAGGCAAGAUGGCUGCCUCAAACAAGUCCAUAUUUCAUCUCUCCUCCUAACCUCCUGCCUGCCAAAGCUCUGGCAGGGAACUCAUUACAACAAAGCAUGCAUGCACCCUAAUUACCUGUCAUACUUCUCUGUUGCUGGACCAGACCCUAUAAGAGAAUUCCAAAGAAUUUAUUUUUAUGGGAACAAAAUGCAGUAAUUGAUGUUGCAAUCCUGCCCAAAUCACUGAACAGAUCCUUUAACAUCCAAAUUCCCUAAAACAGCUUUGACUUACUACACACUUCACAUGCCAGCUAGUGUUUGAAGUGCGUGUAGCCGCCCCCAUGAAGCCCUUUCUUACUGGAGGGCCUGGGUCAACAUUGCUGAAGAGCCAGAAAAUCAGAAAUGAGUCCAGUAUCCACAUUCCAGCACUAAGCCCAGUAUCUACCAACCCGAGAAGCAACUGCCCUAGGCAAGCAAGGGCAGCACAAUCAGGUUGACCUCUCCUCGGGGACGAAGGAAAGAUGGCCCCCUCUCUCCCACAGGAGACUCCCUCAGCCCCAGUGAGGAGAGGAGAGGGAGCAGUGGGCAGGCUGUUUGAUCCUCCCCACCUGCACCUGGAUCAGCCCUGCCUGCUCCAGUCAUCCUUUUCACACCAGCAGGAAGGAAAUUGAAGCUACUGC